rnacentral:rRNA from 1 species
GUAGGUGGCAAGCGUUGUCCGGAAUUAUUGGGCGUAAAGCGCGCGCAUGCGGUUCUUUAAGUCUGAUGUGAAAGCCCACGGCUCAACCGUGGAGGGUCAUUGGAAACUGGAGAACUUGAGUACAGAAGAGGAAAGCGGAAUUCCACGUGUAGCGGUGAAAUGCGUAGAGAUGUGGAGGAACACCAGUGGCGAAGGCGGCUUUCUGGUCUGUAACUGACGCUGAGGCGCGAAAGCGUGGGGAGCAAACAGGAUUAGAUACCCUGGUAGUCCACGCCGUAAACGAUGAGUGCUAAGUGUUAGGGGGGUUUUCCGCCCCCCUUAGUGCUGCAGCUAACGCAUUAAGCACUCCGCCUGGGAGUACGGCCGCAAGGCUG